rnacentral:rRNA from 1 species
GACGAAUGCUGGCGGCGUGCCUAAUACAUGCAAGUUGAGCGAUGAAGAUUGGUGCUUGCACCAAUUUGAAGAGCAGCGAACGGGUGAGUAACGCGUGGGGAAUCUGCCUUUGAGCGGGGGACAACAUUUGGAAACGAAUGCUAAUACCGCAUAACAACUUUAAACAUAAGUUUUAAGUUUGAAAGAUGCAAUUGCAUCACUCAAAGAUGAUCCCGCGUUGUAUUAGCUAGUUGGUGAGGUAAAGGCUCACCAAGGCGAUGAUACAUAGCCGACCUGAGCAGGUGAGCGGCCACAUUGGGACUGAGACACGGCCCAAACUCCUACGGGAGGCAGCAGUAGGGAAUCUUCGGCAAUGGACGAAAGUCUGACCGAGCAACGCCGCGUGAGUGAAGAAGGUUUUCGGAUCGUAAAACUCUGUUGGUAGAGAAGAACGUUGGUGAGAGUGGAAAGCUCAUCAAGUGACGGUAACUACCCAGAAAGGGACGGCUAACUACGUGCCAGCCGCCGCCGUAA